UGGGGAAUCUUGGACAAUGGGGGCAACCCUGAUCCAGCGACGCCGCGUGGGUGACGAAGGCCUUCGGGUUGUAAAGCCCUUUUCUCGGGGAAGAUGAUGACGGUACCCGAGGAAUAAGCACCGGCUAACUCCGUGCCAGCAGCCGCGGUAAGACGGAGGGUGCUAGCGUUGUUCGGAAUUACUGGGCGUAAAGGGCGCGUAGGCGGCCCGAGAAGUCGGAUGUGAAAGCCCGGGGCUCAACCCCGGAACG
rnacentral:rRNA from 1 species